rnacentral:rRNA from 1 species
UAGGGAAUAUUGGUUAAUCUGCGAAAGCGGGAACCAGCAACGCCGCGUGCACGAUGAAGGCCUUCGGGUUGUAAAGUGCUUUUUGAGAGGAUGAGGAAGGACAGUACUCUUAGAAUAAGCUUCGGCUAACUACGUGCCAGCAGCCGCGGUAAAACGUAGGAAGCGAGCGUUAUCCGGAUUUACUGGGCGUAAAGCGUGUGUAGGCGGUUUGAUAAGUUGGAUGUGAAAGCUCCCGGCUUAACUGGGAGAGGUCGUUCAAAACUAUCAGACUCGAGAGUGGUAGAGGGAGGUGGAAUUCCGGGUGUAGUGGUGAAAUGCGUAGAUAUCCGGAGGAACACCAGUGGCGAAAGCGGCCUCCUGGCCCAUUUCUGACGCUCAGACACGAAAGCUAAGGUAGCAAACGG